rfam:Collinsella sp. CAG:398 genomic scaffold, scf99
GCCGGGCUGCGCGGUCUACGCAGGCUCGGCAAUCUGUACGCACGCCGCCCGCUCCGGCACGGGGCGGCACAGAUUAUAAGGAGGA